ACGAACGCUGGCGGCGUGCCUAAUACAUGCAAGUCGAACGCUUCUUUUUCCACCGGAGCUUGCUCCACCGGAAAAAGAGGAGUGGCGAACGGGUGAGUAACACGUGGGUAACCUGCCCAUCAGAAGGGGAUAACACUUGGAAACAGGUGCUAAUACCGUAUAACAAUCGAAACCGCAUGGUUUUGAUUUGAAAGGCGCUUUCGGGUGUCGCUGAUGGAUGGACCCGCGGUGCAUUAGCUAGUUGGUGAGGUAACGGCUCACCAAGGCGACGAUGCAUAGCCGACCUGAGAGGGUGAUCGGCCACAUUGGGACUGAGACACGGCCCAAACUCCUACGGGAGGCAGCAGUAGGGAAUCUUCGGCAAUGGACGAAAGUCUGACCGAGCAACGCCGCGUGAGUGAAGAAGGUUUUCGGAUCGUAAAACUCUGUUGUUAGAGAAGAACAAGGAUGAGAGUAACUGUUCAUCCCUUGACGGUAUCUAACCAGAAAGCCACGGCUAACUACGUGCCAGCAGCCGCGGUAAUACGUAGGUGGCAAGCGUUGUCCGGAUUUAUUGGGCGUAAAGCGAGCGCAGGCGGUUUCUUAAGUCUGAUGUGAAAGCCCCCGGCUCAACCGGGGAGGGUCAUUGGAAACUGGGAGACUUGAGUGCAGAAGAGGAGAGUGGAAUUCCAUGUGUAGCGGUGAAAUGCGUAGAUAUAUGGAGGAACACCAGUGGCGAAGGCGGCUCUCUGGUCUGUAACUGACGCUGAGGCUCGAAAGCGUGGGGAGCAAACAGGAUUAGAUACCCUGGUAGUCCACGCCGUAAACGAUGAGUGCUAAGUGUUGGAGGGUUUCCGCCCUUCAGUGCUGCAGCUAACGCAUUAAGCACUCCGCCUGGGGAGUACGACCGCAAGGUUGAAACUCAAAGGAAUUGACGGGGGCCCGCACAAGCGGUGGAGCAUGUGGUUUAAUUCGAAGCAACGCGAAGAACCUUACCAAGUCUUGACAUCCCACUGACAAAGUAUGUAAUGUACUUUCUCUUCGGAGCAGUGGUGACAGGUGGUGCAUGGUUGUCGUCAGCUCGUGUCGUGAGAUGUUGGGUUAAGUCCCGCAACGAGCGCAACCCUUAUUGUUAGUUGCCAUCAUUUAGUUGGGCACUCUAGCAAGACUGCCGGUGACAAACCGGAGGAAGGUGGGGAUGACGUCAAAUCAUCAUGCCCCUUAUGACCUGGGCUACACACGUGCUACAAUGGGAAGUACAACGAGUCGCAAAGUCGCGAGGCUAAGCUAAUCUCUUAAAGCUUCUCUCAGUUCGGAUUGUAGGCUGCAACUCGCCUACAUGAAGCCGGAAUCGCUAGUAAUCGCGGAUCAGCACGCCGCGGUGAAUACGUUCCCGGGCCUUGUACACACCGCCCGUCACACCACGAGAGUUUGUAACACCCGAAGUCGGUGAGGUAACCUUUUGGAGCCAGCCGCCUAAGGUGGGAUAGAUGAUUGGGGUG
rnacentral:rRNA from 1 species